rnacentral:lncRNA from 1 species
AGGGUGGCACAGUAGAGAUACAGAGAUGGCACUGAGCAAGAUGCCAGGCAUCUAGUUCAAGGAAGGCAAAGAAUCCUUGUAGUUGUUUCCUUGAUCUCCUCACUAGCAUAAUAGUCCUCAAUUGUUACUGCAUCCACAGUUCAGAGCUACAAAAUGACACUGCACAUGAUGAGGACCUGUCCAGACAGGAGAGAAUGGAUCCAGGUAUCUCCAUGGUAUCAGGUUGGGGAGGGGAAGGGAGUUCCUCAGUCUGUGCAUACUGAGAUGAGCCCAGCCAAUCGGAGCCCCGAGUCCGUAUGGCCACGCCACAAGCCCACAGCUGACGGGAGCAACAGCAUUCUGCUUCCCUGGGGUGGUGAGAGGCUGCUCUGUCAACGGGAAUCCUAUGCCUGAAGUCUACUGUUGUGCUCAGAUGCCAAGUUAGACUCAGUUUCCCUGUUCAUGAACUGACAUCAAAUGAGGCGAAUGACCUGGGCUCCUCUGGGAAUGACCUAAGUCAGGGAUCAAGUAAUGCUCCACCA